rnacentral:rRNA from 1 species
UACGUAGGCAGCAAGCGUUGUUCGGAGUUACUGGGCGUAAAGGGUGCGUAGGCGGUUGUUUAAGUUUGGUGUGAAAUCUCCCGGCUCAACUGGGAGGGUGCGCCGAAUACUGAAUGACUCGAGUGCGGGAGAGGAGAGUGGAAUUCCUGGUGUGAGCGGUGAAAUGCGUAGAUAUCAGGAGGAACACCGGUGGUGUAAACGGCUU